UACUCCUACGGGAGGCAGCAGUGGGGAGUAUUGCACAAUGGGGGAAACCCUGAUGCAGCGACGCCGCGUGAGCGAUGAAGCCCUUCGGGGUGUAAAGCUCUUUCGGCAGGGACGAUUAUGACGGUACCUGGAGAAGAAGCUGCGGCUAACUACGUG
rnacentral:rRNA from 1 species